CAAAUGACUCUCGGCAAUGGAUAUCUCGGCUCUUGCAUCGAUGAAGAACGUAGUGAAAUGCGAUACUUGGUGUGAAUUGCAGAAUCUCGCGAACCAUUGAGUCUUUGAACGCAAGUUGUGCCCGAGGCCUUGUGGUCGAGGGCACGCCUGCUUGGGUGUCAUG
rnacentral:rRNA from 1 species